AACUUUAUAUUUAGAAACUCUAAAGAUCAUACUUUAAAUACAUAUAGGAAUGGUACUAAAUUAAAGCCAACUGAAUAGACUAGUUGAGUCAGUGCGAAUCUUUGAGAACUAUGUCAUAUGUGAGAUAUGUAAGCGAAUUUUCAGAUAUUCUAAUAUGCAUUGGUCUUAAUUACAUAAUACAAUCAACACAUUUAUAUUUCAUAUAGAUAGAAUGGGUUCAUGUGCUCCAUCUGUAACUUCAUUUAACGUUCUGAAAACAAAUAAAAUACUAAAAUUGAAGGCUUGUUAGUGAUAUUAAUUUUAAAAACGAAACUGACCCAAAUAAUACAACAGCCUAGUUUAUCAUACAGAAAAUAUUUUAAUUUGCUUGAGAUGCCUUUAAAAAAAAAAACCUUGACAAUGACAUCCCAGCAUCAGUUUUAAACUAAAGUGAGCAGCCGUUAGUUUAUAGUCAAAUCAAAUAAAAUCUAAAACUGUUAAGCAAAUAUUUAAUAUACAUUUAAUGAAAUAUCUGGCUGGAUGUUGUAUUGGAAUAAUGUCAGAGACACAUACGUAUACAAGGCAGCUCAGUCAUCUGUUAUGGCAAAUUAGAAUAUUUAGUUCACCCAAAACUAGUAUGAUCUGGUGGCUGGUGUGGUAUGAAGCCAGGUCUGCAAUGCGCUUGGGACUCAUUUCUCGCACAUUCGCUUAAACAUUCAAUUGGAUAGCCGGAAAUGGAUGCGAAAGACUGCAGCAUUCAGUGAUUGAAUGCUCUGUCGUUAUAGGGGUCAAUUGAAUUAAAUUGGAGUAACAAUGGGAAGCCUCAAAUGUUCUUCUUAUGUAUUU